rnacentral:rRNA from 1 species
UGGGGAAUCUUGCACAAUGGGGGCAACCCUGAUGCAGCGACGCCGCGUGAGCGAUGAAGCCCUUCGGGGCGUAAAGCUCUUUCGACCGGAACGAUAAUGACGGUACCGGGAGAAGAAGCUGCGGCUAACUACGUGCCAGCAGCCGCGGUAAUACGUAGGCAGCAAGCGUUGUUCGGAGUUACUGGGCGUAAAGAGUGCGUAGGCGGUUUUCUAAGUUCGGUGUGAAAUCUCCCGGCUUAACUGGGAGGGUGCGCCGAAGACUGGGAAGCUGGAGUGUGGGAAAGGCAGGCAGAAUUCCUGGUGUAGCGGUGAGAUGCGUAGAUAUCAGGAGGAACACCGGCGGUGUAGACGGCUUGCUAGACCAUAACUGACGCUGAGGCACGAAAGCGUGGGUAGCAAACA